CACCGAAUGAGUCAAGUGUUGCAUCGUUAGCUGUGUUUACAUUUUUUGACCAACUGUGCCUUGAAGUUACAGGAGAUUGAUCAAAGAAUGCCCUGUAUUUUCAAUAGUCACGGACAACCCCGUUCUCUUUGUUUAACUCGGACACUAUUGUUUAAGGUGUUCCAUUUUAGAUAACGUUACUUUAUCCAAAAACCAUUUGUCUGUCACCUUCUGCCGGAGACUGUCCCCAUCAUCACGUCAGUUUGAGGGACCUUUUGCAGCAAGAAAAUACGCUGGAAAGCAUACAAUGCCCGAAAAGACCAAAACGAAUUAAACUGUAGGCCUAUAGAAGCCGUCGCAGACACCUUCGUCUUCUGGGCAAGUAGCUCGAGACAAGAACAACGUGGUGACAAUUUCAGUGCACGCGAAGCCUGAAUCUGAAUUGAACGCGAUUACAGGUGUACACUUUUUUGUAUGCGGAACACUGAUGGCAAAAGAAACUCCGCUAGUAAAGACUAAUUGAGUAUUUAGUUGUUGUUUUUACCGCCCCCCCACAAAAAAAGAUAUAUAUAUUUAUUUUACGUAGGUAAUGUACAAUAUAUUCAUUCCUAGUUGUGUCUAUAGUGGCAGUAGGUGUCGCUAUUGCCGCACCGCCAACUGAUGGGCAGGCCAAUGCGGAGCUUGUUCGGUAUCUCUCCAAGGUGCUGGCGUUGAAGAGAAGCGAAGUCGUUGUGGACAAGGUUUGAGAGCUGUGAAUGGACAUCUCUGGAUUCUUCAUGAUGCAUGGUUAUAUACUGUGUUGCCAAUAACAGAACAGUUUCAGGAAUUUAAACUAAAAUGUUUCAUCAUGUCCUUAUGCCUCUCUGCAGAGCUCAAGAUACUGAGAAUAUUGUCACGGUGACACUAACUCCAGAGCAGGGGUUGGACAGGUUAAAGCAGGAGGCUGUUUGAAUGUUAAUUACACCCAUAACAGAGGCUUCUCUAUGACACCAUGGAUGACUUUUUAGUUCAGGUCCUAUACACCUUUACAGUAUUGGUUGACUUUCAGACAUCUAUGGAAACAGCUCAGAUAAGAUAGUAGCCUACUUUAUUAAUCCCCAAAGGGGACAUUUGUUUGCAUCAGCUGAUGCACACACCAAUGAAUGCACAAUUUGUGACAUGCACUAUAGUCAAGCAUUCUACAAGGAUUUUAACUGUAUAGGCAUCUGAAAUACUUUUUUCCCCAAACUGUUGAAAGAACCCUUGUUUAUUGAGGCUUCCUCAGAAAUAAUUUGCUGUCUUAUCAUCUGUGACAUUGUUUUUUUAAAGUAAAAUUUCAAUCACAAUGAGUCUUGCCUCAGGCAUGGCUACUGAUAUGAUUGUUAUUGAUGUAUUAUGUUCAUACGGAAAAAGUUCACCCAAGUUCCCACCCUUUCAGGACAUCUACCUUCACCUCAUGAGGUAUCUGAGGUAUAUUUUUUAGCAAAUAUCUUAGAUCAUUUAGCUUUUUUUUCAUGCUUUUGUUGCCCCUAAAACGUGUUUUAUGUUUAUUUUCUUGGACAGCAUGUGGGUAUUUAUUUUUGUAUCGAAUUGCUGUAGUUGUGGUAAAUGAAAUGAGAUAUUUGUCAAUGGAAAUAAAAAUGUCAAUGACG